rnacentral:misc_RNA from 1 species
GGACAACUAAACGCUGGGCUGUAGACCAAGUCCUUUGCGCGUCUUUCCAACAAAUAGAUCCCCAGAUUUUAUCAUGCCUGGAAUGCGUCCAGCGAUUGACAAACAAGGAAAUUGAGCCACUGCAUCUUUUCUCCCUAGAGAAACUAUAGCCAAUGCCUUGGUUGCUGGUUUAUAUACAGCCAAUUUGUGAUCAUCUUCCACUCCCUUUAUUAACGACGUGAUGUUCUUGGCUACUACCUUUGCGUGUUCUUGAGCCAAAUAUCCUUGUUUAAGUUCCGGAACAUCAGUGAUGUCCCCAAUAGCAAAGAUAUUUUUGCGAGCCUUGAUCCUCAAAUUUGAAUCAACCAUUACCUUUCCACGACUGUCCAAACUAUCCUUCAAGAUAGUUUGUUUUAACCAUACUGAACCAAAUAGUGUACCGGUGCAAAGAAAAUAACAAUCAGCAACUAUAGUUUCUCCACCAGAUGUUCUAUAAACACCAUCUGAUUGAGAGUUAACAAGGACUGAUUGCUCCAAUAUGACUUCAACUUUCUUUGAAGUAAGCCAAUUCAGCGCCUUUUUGCUGGCGCUUUCUCCAAUAAAUUCCAAUAAUCUUGAUCCUCUAUGCACCAAUGUCACCUUCUUAGCAGGAAAAUCUGCAACAAUUUCAGCAGCCAACUCCACACCUGUUGGCCCUCCUCCGACUAUCAAUAUGGAAUCAGCAGCCUUUAUCUUUUCAUACUCUGCUUGGUACUGACUGAUCUUCUCCGUUCUCGUCUCAAAACCGCUUUGUGUAUGACCAGUGGCAACUACAAGAUAGUCAUAUGCAAUUCGGCUGCCUUGUUUGGUCAAUACAUAAGUGUCUGUGAUGUCAACUGCAGCUGACGGAAUGAUUUUCGCAUGAGGGAGGUAUUCAGCGUGAGAAAUGACGGAUCUUUUUGCAAAUUCAGGUUCAACCAUACACCUUAAGCUUGCCCAUGUUAUCUCAUAAUACUCUUUCUCAUCAAUGAGGGAAACAUUGACCUCAUUUUGAAGGGUUUUUGCUACAACAGAACCAGCAACUCCACCCCCAAUCACAACCACAUUUUUCUUUUCUCCCCCUAAACUCAUAUCCAAAGAUUCCAAAUAAAAAUCACA